UGACAUCAUAGAUGGAGCAGGGUAUGCAGAGCACCCAGGGACCAGCAGGAGUGUCCUUCACAGAAAUGAGCCCUGGGCAGAGAGGAGACCAAGCAACUGGUUUUGGUUGUCAGCUACUGAGCCAGGUGGUCUGGACCUGCAUUCUGCCAGCUGCUGGAAGCCCAUUGCUGGAGUUCCUUGUGUGGAACCAACUGAUAAUCACGACACAAGAGACAGGCAGAUGGUGAAAUCAUUAGUGUAGAUCUGCAGCCACAUUGGUUUGAUGGUUCUCACCCUCUGAAUUAGAUAGCCUGGUUCCUCAGGUAGUACCGAAGACCCACCUGCCUCCCACUGCAGAACCAAUCUGCUUUUGUUAGGUUUCUGCCAUGUCUAAGCAGGUUGGAAUGCAUGUGUCCUGUGGGCAGGCUGACUGUGAAAGCAAAAGCAAUGGCAAAAUCAAACAUCCCAACCAGAAGGAGGCAGAACUGGGCAUGCUCAGUGAUGUCUGUCCAGCUACUGAUCACAGAGGUCAUGGUGAAUGAGAGGGCCAGAGAAAGCAUCUAGAACUGGACCAGCUGCUCUUUCCAGUGUUGUCUUUCUCCGGCUCUGCCUGGGUCCUGAGGAAUGUCUUGCCUGUUCCAUCCUAUCGGGAUCGUGUCCAGAGCAAGCACUGGCUGCUCUUCUUCCUCUAGACCUCCUCCCCCAACCGUGUGAACAGUGUUGUCCACUCAAAGAGCAAGGGAUAAAAUGGCCCUGGGGCAGGACAGUGCCUGGAGCAACCUUCUUGGCUUCCACUACUCUGUGCAUUCCCAUGGAACUCAGAGAGGGGCAAGAUAGUGAGGUCAAUGGAAGGUCCAGCCCUCCACAUCUGCCUCCAUGGACUCCCUGAA